rnacentral:rRNA from 1 species
UUGAACGCUGGCGGCAUGCUUUACACAUGCAAGUCGAACGGCAGCGGGGGCUUCGGCCUGCCGGCGAGUGGCGAACGGGUGAGUAAUGCAUCGGAACGUACCCAGUCGUGGGGGAUAACUACGCGAAAGCGUAGCUAAUACCGCAUACGCCCUGAGGGGGAAAGCGGGGGACCUUCGGGCCUCGCGCGAUUGGAGCGGCUGAUGUCGGAUUAGCUAGUUGGUGGGGUAAAAGCUCACCAAGGCGACGAUCUGUAGCUGGUCUGAGAGGACGACCAGCCACACUGGAACUGAGACACGGUCCAGACUCCUACGGGAGGCAGCAGUGGGGAAUUUUGGACAAUGGGCGCAAGCCUGAUCCAGCAAUGCCGCGUGCAGGAUGAAGGCCUUCGGGUUGUAAACUGCUUUUGUACGGAACGAAACGGUUCUCUUUAAUAAAGAGGGCUAAUGACGGUACCGUAAGAAUAAGCACCGGCUAACUACGU